GACGAACGCUGGCGGCGCGCCUAACACAUGCAAGUCGAGCGGAGAUACUUGAAGGAAGUUUUCGGAUGGAAUUUGAGUAUUUUAGCGGCGGACGGGUGAGUAACGCGUGAGUGACCUUCCUUCCACAGGGGGAUAACGUACCGAAAGGUACACUAAUACCGCAUGAGACCACAGCACUGCCUGGUGCAGGGGUCAAAGGAGCAAUCCGGUGGAAGAUGGACUCGCGUCCGAUUAGAUAGUUGGUGGGGUAACGGCCUACCAAGUCAGCGAUCGGUAGCCGACCUGAGAGGGUGAUAGGCCACAUUGGAACUGAGGGACGGUCCAAACUCCUACGGGAGGCAGCAGUGGGGAAUGUUGUGCAAUGGGGGAAACCCUGACCCAGCGACGCCGCGUGAGGGAAGAAGGUUUUCGGAUUGUAAACCUCUGUUCUUGGUGAAGAGGGAAAGACGGUAGCCAAGGAGGAAGCCCCGGCUAACUACGUGCCAGCAGCCGCCGUAAAAC
rnacentral:rRNA from 1 species